AUCUGAACUGAGUGGCAAAACAUAGGGAAUGGGACAUCAGGAGGGCCAGUCUCAGUUUUAAUGCUAUGACCCUGGGCAAAUUACCUGUCUGCCCCUGUUUUAUCACACCACACACUUUGUCUUGUCUGUCCAGACUCUAGCUGCUUUGGGACAGACACCAUCUCUCAAAAUGUGUUAGUAAUUCUCCUUGGAGGGCACUGGAGAACAAAAUAAGUGCUUAGUAUAUCAUCAAAAUAUUUAGUAAAUAAUAGGCAAUUGUGAGUCACUGCCCUGUAACUCCAUGUCUGGCUCUUGGUUUGUUGAAGAACAGCUAUGAAUCAGCUUUGGUCUGCAGGGUACUUGGAAAGCACCCAGCACGCGGACAGCUUCGUCUGUGAAUGCCUUUUUUUUUACAGGAUAAUCUGGUUCUGCGAUAGCACAGGGGAGUUUUGGCUGAUACAGUGACAUCAGGCUCAGCGCUCCUACCCCACACAAAGAAGAGUUCAUUCUGCUGGGGGUUGCCCUUCUCUUCCCAGCCCUUCCACCCCUGCACCUUUGGCUGCUGGAUGAUGCUCUUGUCAGCCCAGUGAAAAUUCUUGUGCAAUCCUGACAAAUGAACACCACAAGAAGUUGGAUCUGGAAAGACCAUAGAGCACGGGAUAAAUCGCCAGCUGGGUCUCUCUCUGCCCACUGUAAAAUGAGCACAGAGGACCAGCGAGAGUAAGUGGAUAACUCUCAGAUGGCUGAAAUUGCGUCAGAGAUUUGCACCCAUAGCGACCAGAAGAAAAACGAGUCAGGUGAACAGAGGAUUGUAAGAAAGGAAAAAAGAAAGCACAGCCUUGGCUAUCAUAAAGUCUAUGUGACAUUGAGCAACAGCUUCAGCUGUUAUCGCCUGCCUUCACACACUCCGAGGCCAGAUGGCUGAAGAGAAGGCGUUCAGCCACCAGUCGGUGGGCACUACAGGACUUUCCCAUCAAUCCAGAGAAAGACAAUUCAUUUUUCCCUUUCUGGUAUCAUUCAGACUGCUGUGUGAUGGGAGACUCAAGGGUAACCAACAGCUAAUCCUUGCAGAGCUGGCAGCUCUGGGCAGUAGUCAUAGCUGGAGGGAGGAUACCAAAGACUUUAUGGGGAAAAUUCCCUCUGAUUGCAAAGGGCCAGAGUAAGUGGGGAGAGGUUACUUCUUAUUUUGGGGUAGUCCCUUGGGAUAGUCCAGAUGUGCUCCAUCAUGUCUGGUGGGGCACAUCAAGUGAACAAAUAGUCUUUCAAGUGGAACCUUUGUCCUCCAAGGUAACUUUAAUGGGUUUUCACUAUUCCAUUAUUUCCCAUUGGUGGGUUUCCAUAUGGUUGCUGAAGAUCAUCAGGGAGUUGCACCAUCUGAAAGGGUAUUGUACCAAAGGUUCAACAUGUAGACCCAUAUUCAAGCCUGGAAGACUAAGAAACCAGACUCAUAGGUACAUGUGGCAAACAUAAGUGAGAUGGACAUGACUUAACACUUUGCCAAUAAAAAAGAAAACCCCCCAUCAGCAUUAUGACUUACCAUCUUUCAUAAUGCAAUGAAACUGGAAGAUAAAUAGGGAACUUAGAAACCUCUAAUAGCUUUUAAAGAACGUGGUAUAGCUGCAGUCAAACAAAUGUGCCCGGGUUUUGAUGUUCUAAUAUAUUUUGUCAUUUCUUUUCUGGAAGAGAAAGGAGAAAGCAAUGAAAAUUAGGUUUUGUUUUCCAUUGUUUGUCCCAGCUCCAGCAGUAUGUGCAGAAGAUUGGGUACAUUGAGAUAGCCCUUGAAUAAUGUUGCGAAGGUGGACAGAGAUUAAGAAGAAAAGCAUCCAGUUUGGAGUCAGACAGUAUAAAGAAAUGAAAAUAAAAUUCAGGUCGAAAUGCA
ensembl:lncRNA